rnacentral:rRNA from 1 species
UACGUAGGGUGCGAGCGUUGUCCGGAAUUACUGGGCGUAAAGAGUUCGUAGGCGGUUUGUCGCGUCGUUCGUGAAAACUUGGGGCUUAACUCCAAGCGUGCGGGCGAUACGGGGCAGACUUGAGUACUACAGGGGAGACUGGAAUUCCUGGUGUAGCGGUGAAAUGCGCAGAUAUCAGGAGGAACACCGGUGGCGAAGGCGGGUCUCUGGGUAGUAACUGACGCUGAGGAACGAAAGCGUGGGUAGCGAACAGG